AAUAUCUCUGGGAGCUUCCCAUUGCUCACAGCCACCUCUCCUAAUCCUAGCCCACCUGAGUUCAUACCCAGAGAGACACAGGGAUCCUUCGGAGCAGGGAGGGAUCCAGAGGGCGCUGGCAUCCAGCAGAAAAGGCUGAGGAUUGUGGCACCAGGUGGAUACAGGGAAUGGUUCUUCACAGAGGAUAAUUGAACCUGAUCUAUUAACCAGGAAUUCUUUCCCACCAUCACUGCACUGAAGGUGUCAUUAUGGGAUAGAAGGAACGACGAGGUUCAGCACAACACUUAAGAAUGGAAUUGUCAGCACUGUACCUGUUCCUGAGGAAGUCAUGUCUCCCACCCGCUGCCAUCCCAUAGAAGAGACCCCAAAACCUGGGCCCAGAGCUGGGAGGACACUAAACUUCCAAUCUCAUUACAGCUGGAAACUCUGACCUGUUUAAAGUCAGCUAAAGGGAUUUUUUUUCAGAAUUUAAAGCUGCAUUUUUUUUCCUAAAUCUGC